rnacentral:rRNA from 1 species
GACGAACGCUGGCGGCGUGCCUAAUACAUGCAAGUAGAGCGCUGAAGGAGGAGCUUGCUUCUCUGGAUGAGUUGCGAACGGGUGAGUAACGCGUAGGUAACCUGCCUGGUAGCGGGGGAUAACUAUUGGAAACGAUAGCUAAUACCGCAUAAGAGUAGAUGUUGCAUGACAUUUGCUUAAAAGGUGCAAUUGCAUCACUACCAGAUGGACCUGCGUUGUAUUAGCUAGUUGGUGGGGUAACGGCUCACCAAGGCGACGAUACAUAGCCGACCUGAGAGGGUGAUCGGCCACACUGGGACUGAGACACGGCCCAGACUCCCACGGGAGGCAGCAGUAGGGAAUCUUCGGCAAUGGACGGAAGUCUGACCGAGCAACGCCGCGUGAGUGAAGAAGGUUUUCGGAUCGUAAAGCUCUGUUGUAAGAGAAGAACGAGUGUGAGAGUGGAAAGUUCACACUGUGACGGUAUCUGACCAGAAAGGGACGGCUAACUACGUG